rnacentral:rRNA from 1 species
GACAGAGGGCGCAAGCGUUGUUCGGAAUUACUGGGCGUAAAGCGCGCGCAGGCGGUCAUUUAAGUCUGGUGUUUAAUCCUGGGGCUCAACCCCAGUUCGCAUCGGAAACUGGAUGACUUGAGUGUAAGAGAGGAAAGUGGAAUUCCACGUGUAGCGGUGAAAUGCGUAGAGAUGUGGAGGAACACCAGUGGCGAAGGCGACUUCUGGCUUAUAACUGACGCUG